GCCAGCGGGGAUAGCACGUUGAAUGUACCAGUCCCCAAUGGACCACUGAUGUUAAGCAACGGUGCGAGUGGUUGGUAGUAAAAUAUAUGCAUGUGUAAGUAUAAUAUUAUCCUGUCC
rnacentral:rRNA from 1 species